CGAAACCGAUAGCGAACAAGUACCGUGAGGGAAAGUUGAAAAGUACUCUGAAUAGAGAGUUAAAUAGUACGUGAAACCGCUUAGGGGUUAAGCCCGAUGAACCCGAAUAUCUGAUGUGAGAAAUUCAAUACUGUUCAUUUUAUGGAUAGUAUGCACUUUUCUCAUAGUAAGACAUUGUAAUCCAUUGAUGCUAUAUCUCUUUCAUUUAUGGGACGAGAUGAUUUAACAUACGGACAAGAUGUAUAUGUUUAUUCUAUCAGUGAUGUGUUUACAUGUCAUAUGAAUAAGAUCGUUUUGUAUCUGUUUAAAUAGUCGAUGGAUUUUAACUGAAUCAUGCUUGCAAUUCAUUUUGCGUUUCGUGUUAUCGGCUUAUUUGGUUGGUAAUAGCAGAAAUGGCAUGCAUUCGAUUAACAAUGCGAUAGAUUUGGGAUACUUUCAGGACCCGUCUUGA
rnacentral:rRNA from 1 species